AUUGAACGCUGGCGGCAGGCCUAACACAUGCAAGUCGAGCGAGCGGCGGACGGGUGAAUAAUGCCUGGGAAUUGCCCAGUAGAGGGGGAUAACAGUUGGAAACGACUGCUAAUAACGCAUACGAUGGGAUUGCACAGGAGGGAUUAGCUAGUUGGUGAGGUAAUGGUUCACCAAGGCGACGAGCCCUAGCUGGUCUGAGAGUAUGAUCAGCCACACUGGAACUGCUACACGUGCCAGACUCCUACGGGAGGCAUCAGUGGGGAAUAUUGCACAAUGGGGGAAACCCUGAUGCAGCCAUGCCGCGUGUGUGAAGAAGGCCUGCGGGUUGUAAAGCACUUUCAGCGAGGAGGCGUUACUCGCAGAAGAAGCACCGGCUAACUCCGUGCCAGCAGCCGCGGUAAUAC
rnacentral:rRNA from 1 species